AUGAGACCCGCAGCAACAGCGGUAGCAGCCACCGCCGCCGCGCUCCGAGCCGCGUUCCUCGCCCCUCCCGCUGCCGCCUUCCGCCUCCUCCCUCCCCGCCGUGUCUUCCUCCUCCCCCUGCACCGCCUCUCCUCCUCCUCGUCCCCGGUCGCCCCUCCUUGCGCCGCUUCCUCCGACUCCCAGCCGCCGCCGUUGCCUGCCUUCAUGGACGCGCAGUUCGAGUCCUUCCGGGCGCAGCUCGAUGGCUCCUCCGCCCUCCGCGACCGCAUCCGCGCCGUCGUCUCCGAGGUCGAGUCAGCCUCCCGGGCCGCCUCCGCUGCGCUCCUCCUCAUCCACCAGCCCGUCCCCCUAUCUGAUGUGCUCGGCAAGGCGAAGGCGCAGGUGGAGGUGAUCAAGGGGCUGUACUCUCAGCUCGCGGAGAUCCUCAAAGAGUGCCCCGGUCAGUACUACAGGUACCAUGGGGACUGGAAGAGUGAGACACAGUCUGUGGUGUCGAUGCUAGCGUUCACGCACUGGCUCGAGACUGGUGGCCUGCUCACGCACGCCGAGGCCCAGGAAAAGCUAGGAUUGGGUUCUGGGGAGUUUGGCCUGGACGUUGAAGACUACCUGACUGGAUUGUGCUUCAUGUCCAAUGAUUUUCCUAGAUAUGUAGUGAAUCGGGUCACGGCGGGUGACUACGACUGCCCACGGAAGGUGCUAAGCUUUUUGACUGAUCUGCAUGCUUCAUUUAGGAUGCUGAAUCUGCGCAAUGACUUCUUGCGUAAGAAAUUUGAUGGGAUGAAGUAUGAUUUGAGAAGGGUGGAGGAAGUAUUUUAUGAUGUGAAGAUACGCGGACUUGUCCCUGGGGAGUCAAAGCAGGAGGUUGCUCAGUCAUAG
rnacentral:rRNA from 1 species